rnacentral:lncRNA from 1 species
UUUUAUUUUCCUGUUCUUUGCUUCUUUUUUUUUUAACCAUCAUUCUGGCUAAUAUAAUAAUUACUUACCUAACACAAUCUAGCAAAGAUAAGACACAGAAAGAAAUUGCUGAUUGUAAACAUCUAAACAUCCACUAAGCGUACUGCUUUAUAAAAAGGCAGCUCUUCAAUGCCGGUGGCAUAGAAACCUGUAGGGGGGAAGAAAUCCAAAGACCUCGCUCUCUGCUGGCCCCAAGUCCUGGCAAGAGUCGAUGUCUCUGGGAGCUGCUGAGGCCAGAGGACGGCUGUCUUAGCAGCUCCCCGCUCCCGCCCACUGACCCCAUGCCGGCAGACAAGUCCCUUGAACAGAUUGCGCCAGUCUGGUGCCAGGUAAUUGCCUCUCAAUUCCUGUUUCUGCAGAUCCCCUGCUUCCUGCGGGACUGCGGGCUGUGCACUUUCCUGCCCAAGCUCAAGUACAAGCUCCAGGUUGUCGGGAAGCCUUCCACGGCCUGCAGCCCCACCGAGUAGAUUCCCGACGAGCUCAAGCUGCAGGCUGCCCUGGUUCAGUAAGGAUCGGUUAAACGAAGAAUUAAACAGAAGGAAGUCAACUAUCUCACAAGGAAAACUAACGUUUUUAGCUCAAUCCACAUGUCAGCUCUGGAUCAUUUCCAACACUUGCACUUAAUUCAGCAGACUGAACCCUCCACUGUUUUUGAGCAAGGAUAUGGUCUGGACGCAGAUAUAAUCAAACCAGUUCCACUUCCUACACUGAACAUCGCCGUGCUACACUUGACAACCGAAAGCAUUCAUUUGGACUUGCCCUUUCAAUGCACCCCUACUGCUACACAUUGCACACUGUUUCUUUGCGGCCUUCUUUCAGAACUCCUGAAUCCAUUCCUGACUUUGUCAAAAGAAUCCUUCUCUUGGUACCCAGACUGAUUGCUGUGUGCCCCCUUACUUGGGAAACAUUUCAGGGGUUAACCUCGCACCAUAGGACAAAGUCUCAACGUCUCUAAAUAGAAGACAAGUCAGCCAUGGACUGUCCCUUGCCAUCUCUCCAUUCACAACUACCACUCUUUUUACCUCAUUUUAAUAGUAGGCAAUGAAACUGAAAGAUAGAGAAAACUACAGGAAACAUCUAUGUAACCACCACAAAGAUGGAAGAGAUGUUAAGGUUUUCCUCUAUUUGCUGUAAACCUACUGUAAACUUUAUCUUCCAUUCUUUCUUCUCUUAACUUCUCCCAACCAUUCAUAGUAUCGAAGGUUAGAGGCUUGCUUUAAUACUUCUAUGUUGCAUGUCUAUGAAUAAAUAAAAAAAUAAACUAUACA